AACAAUCUCAGGAGACUAAGACAGCUGUGAGAAGACGCCCAUACAUGUUACAGGACCAGACAACACUGCCGAUUCAGUGGACCUCACAACUCACAGGAGACUGAGACAGCUGUGAGAAGACAUGCUGUUCACGUUACAGGACCAGACAACACUUCCAAUUCAGAGAACCACAACACUCACGGGAGACUGAGGCAACUGUGAGAAGACAUACCAU